ACAUGCCUACAACAUAAUGUUAAUGCAUCGAAUCCCAUUAGAACUCCAUAUUUAAGCACGCUUAGGCUAGAGUAGCACUGGGAUGGGUGACCGCCCGAGAAUUCCUAGUGUUUUACAUGCC
rfam:Picea glauca, whole genome shotgun sequence.